rnacentral:lncRNA from 1 species
UCAAUUCUUUGAGAUUACUGGAGUCAAUCAAAGUUUUUCUAUCAUAAAAUCCGAACAUAUUUUCAUGUUUGUAGGUUCUAUAUAUUUGUUUUUUGGAUCGAUCGCUAAAUGAAUACCGAAUGGUAACGCGUAACUGGUUAUACACACACACGCACAUACAAACAAACACCCACCUACUCACGCACGUACGCACACACACACACUUACGCACACACGCGCGCACAUACACACGCGCACAUACACAUGCGCACAGCAAACACACACACACGCAUGCACACACACAAAUAUCAAUCAUAUAAUGUAAAAAGCAUCUAGUGGGGAAAAUAAUACAUUAUUAUGUAAAGUAAAUGAAAUCUUGCGUAAGCGUAAACAUAUUUUCUUUAUCUUCAUAUGGAAGCUUAUAACAUACACUGAAUAAUUAUAACCUUCACAUAUAUGUAUUGGACAUAUUUAAAUACGUACACAUAUAUACACUCCCAGGUAGAUACAUGUAUAUCAGUAUAGAGUAUAUAUUUGUCAAGUCUUAUAAAAAAAUGUCUGUCACUAAAUUCGAAGUUUAUCAUUGCCUUCUUCAGAGAAAAUUAGAUGACGUCAAACAUUUUCGAAAUUGAAAUUUAUAAGCAUAAAUGCAUAUAAAUAAAUAUAUACGUAUAUAUAUAUAUAUAUAUAUAUAUAUAUAUAUAUAUAUAUAUAUAUAUAUAUAUAUAUAUAUAUAUAUAUAUAUAUAUAUAUAUAUAUAUAUAUAUUCAUAUAUAUAUAUAUAUGUACACGGCAGGAAAUCGAGGAGGGCAGGUCGGUCCUUCAAAAUAUCAAUGUGAAUAUUUAUAUGGUAAAAACAUUAGCUACGUACUGUAAACUGUAUUGUGUAAUUUUUCACUUCAAUUAAAACUUAGCUUCACAUAGCAAAGUAUACUUACAUAUAUAAAUACACCACUACACACACAUAUAUACAAGCACACACACACACACAUAUAUAUAUAUGCUGACGAUAAACAUAGGAUAAUUCAUUCACCUAUUGAAAUAUAUAUAUAUAUAUAUAUAUAUAUAUAUAUAUAUAUAUAUAUAUAUAUAUAUAUAUAUAUAUAUAUAUAUAUAUAUGUAUAGGAUUAGGGUGAAUGCCUAUGAUAUCGGAGUAUACAUCAGUAUAAUUAUUAGUAUAAAUAUAAUAUAGUUGUAAAAAUGUUAUUGUUAAAUUUUAUAAGCACAAUCAUUCACUCAAUCUGCAAAAUAUAUUUAUUUAAAAAUAUGUGUAUAUAUGUAGAAAUGUGUGUCUUGAUUAUGAUAUAUGUACAUACGUACAUUUGUAUGUAUAUUUAUAUAUAUAUGUAGUCUAUAAGUAUAUUUGUAUAUAUACAUAUAUGGAAGUACGUAUCUACAUCUGCAUAUGUGUAUAUAUAUAUAUGUAUGUAUAUAGGUAUGUAUAUGUAUGUAUAUAUAUAUAUAUAUAUAUAUAUUUGUUAGUUUGUCCCCACUCCAUCGCUUCACAACUGAGGCUGGUGUGUCUACAUCCCCAUAACUUAGGGAUUCGGCAAUCGAACCCGAUAAAAUAGGUACUCAAAUAUACAAAGAAUAAGACCUCUGGUCGAUUUGCUCGAUUAAAGACGGCGCCCAAUCAAGGCCGCAGUCAAAUGAAUGAAAAUAAAGUAAUAAAAGAAUGGCCAUAAAUAUAGCAAUAAAGUUAUGUAUGUAUAUAUAAAAAUAUAUAUUCAUACAUAUAUGUAUGUUUAAAUGUAUUAUGCAUAUAUACGUAUAUACAUAUAUAUCCAUGUAUAUAAAUAUAUAUAUGUAUAUAUAUAUAUAUAUAUAUAUAUAUAUAUACGUAUAUGUAUAUGUGUGUAUAUAUACAUUUGCAUAUGUAUAUAUGUAUAUGUGUAUAUGUAUGUAUAAAAAUAUAUAUAUAUAUACGUAUGAGUGAAUCAUAUUUGUUUAUGAACCAUUAUAUACCGAGAAAUAUACAUAUUAAACAGGGACUAUAUGAAGUUAUAGGAAUCAGAAAUAUACAGAUACGUACGUGAAUUCACACAUAGAUAUACAUAUACUCGCAGACACUCCCACAUAUAUAGAAGUGUGCAUACAAAUUUACACACACACAUGCGCACGAACACACACACACACACACAUACAUAUAUAUGAGUGUGUGUGUUUGUAAAUACAUGUAUAUGACUUGAUAGAAACAAUUCUGCAUAUAUGAGUUUGUGCCUCUCUAUGUGUGUUAUUGUGUGUAUACGUAUUUUAAUAAGAAAUACGUAUAUAUAUAUAUAUAUACUAAUAAACAUAAAUAUCUAUAUAAAUGUAUAUAUAUAUAUGUGAAUGUAUAUAUGUAUAUAUAUAUAUAUAUAAAUACAUAUGUAUAUAUAUAUGUGUAUAUAUAUAUGUAUAUAUGUAUAUAUAUAUACAUAUAUAUACAUGUCUAUGUAUAUGUAUAUAUGUGUGUAUGUAUGUGUAAAUAUAUAUGCAUAUAUAUGUGUACAUAUAGUUAUAUGUAUGUAUGUAUAUAUAUAUGUAUAUAUACAUAUAUAUCUGAAUAUAUGUGUAUAUAUAUGUAUAUACAUAUAUACAUAUGCAUAUAUAUGUACAUAUAUAUAUAUAUAUAUAUAUGUAUAUAUGUAUAAGUAUAUAUAUAUAAAUAUAAAUACAUGUAUAUAUAAGCAUAUAUGUAUAUACAUGAGUACAUAUAUGAAAGCAUGCUUAUACAUAUAUAUGUAUGAAUGAAUGUAUAUAUAUAUAUAUAUACAUGUAUAUAUACGUACAAAUAUAUAUCUAUACAUAUUUAUAAAUAUGUAUGUAUAUAUCUCUUUUACUCUUUUAUUCUCUUAUACUUGUUUCAGUCAUUUGACUGUGGCCAUGCUGGAGCACCGCCUUUAGUCAAGCUAAUCGAUCCCAGGACUUAUUCUUUGUAAGCCUAGUACUUAUUCUAUCAGUUUCCUUUGCUGAACCGCUAAGUUAUAUAUAUAUAUAUAUAUAUAAUAUAUAUAUAUGUAUAUAUAUAUAUAUAUGUAUGUAAGUAUAUAUAUAUACAAUUAUGUAUAAAUAUAUGUGCAUAUAUAUGUAUAUAUAUAUAUAUAUAUAUAUAUAAAUACAUAUAUAUAUAUAUAUAUAUAUAUAUAUAUACGUAUUCAUAUAUAUGUAUAUACAUGCAUGUAUAAGUAUGUAUAUGUAUAUAUAUAUAUAUAUAUAUAUAUAUAUAUAUAUAUAUAUAUAUAUAUACGUUAUACUACGAUGUUGUAAAUUUACUGAUUUUACAUCUGAAUGAUUUUUAAUUAUUUAAAGACGCUUUGUCUUACGUAUCAAUUUUGAAAGAACAAAUAUUUGCAUUAUAUCAAAUAGAUGCUUUUUCUUCUUUUUUUCUCAUUAUUUUUACAGAAUGGGUCAUGCUUUGGUCAUUUUUUACAUUGGGUAUAUGUCAUCAUACACUAUAGAAUAUUUGAGAGAAAGGUUGGGAGUGUUUAUUGCUAAACCCACCACCUAUACACAUGUUUCAUAUUUAUAAGAAUUCAUAGACAUAAGAACCAGUUGUGAUAUAUAGAAGCACACAUGUAUAUAUAUAUGCAUGUUUAUAUAUAUAUAUAUAUAUAUAUAUAUAUAUUCAAAUAUAUAUAUACAUAUAUAAACUUCUUCAUAUGUAUGUGUAUAUAUAUAUAUGUAAAUUAUAUAUAUAUAUAUAUAUGCACAUGUAUAUGGAUAAAAGUAUGUAUGUAUACAUAUCUAUAUAUAUAUAUAUGUACGUAUAUAUGUAUAUAUACAUAUACGUAUCUAUAUAUAUAUACGUAUAUAUACAUGUAUAUAUAUAUAUGUAUAUAUAUAUGUAUAUACAUAUGAGUAUAUAUAUAUAUAUAUGCAUAUAUGUAUAUAUAUUUAUAUAUAUCUGUGUAUAUAUGUAUGUAUAUAUAUAUGUGUAUAUAUGUAAACUAACAUACAUUUGUUUAUAUUUAUAUGUAUAUAUAUGCAUACAUGUAUAUAUGCAUACAUGUAUAUAUGUAUAUAGGUUUGUAUAUAUAUGUAUAUAUAUAUAUGUAUACAUAUAUAUAAAUACGUAUAUAUAUGUAUGUAUAUAUGUUUGUAUAUAUGUAAUUAUAUAUCUAUAUGCAUGUAUAUUUAAAGCAUAUAUACAUACAUACAUAUAACAUUGCACAUGCAUAUAUAUAUGUAUAUAUAUAUAUAUAUAAAUAUAUAUAUAUAUAUAUAUAUAUAAAUAUAUAUAUAUAUAUUUAUAUAUGUGUGUGUGUGUGUGUGUGUAUACACAUAAACACACAUAUAUAAGUAUGUGGAUAUGUAUAUGUACAUUUAUGUAUAACUAUAGUUAUAUAUACUUUCACACAUAUUUAGACAUGUAUAUACACACACACGACACACGCACACAUACAUAUAUAUAUACAUAUAUAUAUAUAGACAUAUGUUUCUAUGUAUAUAUAUAUAUAUAUAUAUAUAUAUACCUAUAUAUAUAUAAGCUUAUGUUUUUAUGUAUUUAUAUUUAUAGAUAUAUGACGCGUACAAGCAUGUAUAUAUACAUAUGCAUACACAUUUAUAUAUAUGUAUAUAUAUACUUAUAUAUAUAUGUAUAUAUAUAUAUAUAUAUAUAUAUAUAUGUAUACAUACAUAUAUACUUACUUAUAUAUAUGUUUAUAUACAUGCAUAAAUAUUUAUACACACACACAUAUAUAUAUAUUCUUAAUGGAGUGAGAGACAUUCACCCCACGUAUAGCUAUUCAAAUAUUUAGAAAUAUACCGACUAUAUAACCCAUCUAUCUUUUUCUACCUGUACAUAUAUAUAUAUAUGCGUGUGUAUGUGUGCACAGAUAAACACAUGUACACAUGUACAUAUUCAUGAACACACGCGUAUGUAUUUAGUUAUAUAUUGUAAAUGUGGAAAUGCUCGCACCCACUGUCACAAAUCAAGACAAUAACAAUCUACAUUGAUAGUUUACACACAUAUAUAUAUAUUGUGUAUAGAAUAACAUAUUCAUCAAUAAAACUUCAAGUUUGUCUCAGUUAUACAUAUAUUGUGUGAUAUGUAUAUAUAUAUAUAUAUAUAUAUAUAUAUAUAUAUAUAUAUAUGUAUGUAUGUAUGUAUAUAUAUGCGCAUGUGUAAUCCUGUAUACGCACGCUUCAUAAUUAUAACAUUCUGUAUAAUUAAGAAUAUAUUGUAAGUAUGACUUUUGAACUUCUUGAUACUUGUAUGAAGUACUGAUUUAGUUCUAAUUAUUUCCCUUGAUACUACUACUACGGCUGCUACUACUACUACUGCUACGUCUGCUGCGGCUACUGCUACUACUACUACUACUACUACUACUACUACCACUACGGCUGCUGCUGCUUUUUCUACCACUACUACGGCUCCUGCUGCUACCAGUACUACUACAAUUACUAUUGCUACUACUGCCACUACUACUAUUACUUCUAGUAGUAGUAGUAGUUGUAGUAGUAGUAGUAGUAGUAGUAGUAGUAGUAGUAGUAGUAGUAGUACUCGUAAUAAUGCUUUUUGAACUAUAAUCACAAUGCCUGAAAUUUGUGGGAAGGUUCUAGUUGACUAUAUAAACCCCAGUAUUCGACUAGGUCAUAUCGUCCCUAAAAAGUGUGAAACGUUAUUUAACCUCCGUUUAAUUUGAAUUCAAAUUUGGAAAAAUUGGUGCUAAGCACUUCGUCCGGCGCGGUACCUAGUCUCCCAGCUGUCCAUCAUACUAAAUUUCUAGAAGAAGUGGUAUGUCAUUUACAUCGACCCCACUGCCUAACUGGUACUUAUUUUAUCGUCCCCGAAAGCAUACAAGGCAAAGUCCAUAACGGAAUUUGAACCCCAACGUAAAUACAGACAAAAUGCCGUUAAGCAUUUUGUCCUGCUCGCCGAUGUUUCUGACAGCUUGUCGCCUCAAUAAUAAUGAUAAGUGCUUCAAAUGGGCAGCAAUUUUGAAGGAAGGUGAUGAGUCGAUUACAUCGACCCCAGUGCGUAACUGGUACUUAAUUUAUCAACCCCCGAAAAGGAUGAUAUGCAAAUUCAACUCGGCGGAAUUUAAACUCAGCACGUAGUGACCACCUAAGAAUUUCAUCCAGCGUAUAUGUAUAUUUAUAUAUAAAUAUACAUAUACGUAUACGAAUAUAUACAUGCACACAUAUAUAUGUAAAUAUACACAUUUAUAUAUAUGUAUAUAUAUAUAUAUAUAUAUAUAUAUAUUUAUAUAUAUACAUACAUAUACAUACAUACAUACAUACAUAUAUAUAUAUAUAUAUAUAUAUAUAUAUAUAUAUAUAUAUAUAGAUAUAUAUAUUGCUCAAAUUUACAGCAAACAACGUCCAAUGACAGGUGAAGGAACGACAAGCAGGUGUAUUAAUUUAUCGCUCGAGAAAACUGGAAAAGUCAUUGACGUUUCGAGCCUACGCUCCUCCAGAGAUAGUUUUAAGAGGAAAAAACAAAUGCAGCGAGAACAAAAUAAAACGGAGAAAGAAGAAAUGUGUAGGGAUUAACAUACAUAUGAAACAUAUGGCUUAGUGUUUAGAGUGUUGCACUUACGAUUGUGAGAUCGUGGGUUCGAUUCCGAGACUAAGCGUUGUAGUGUGUUUUUGAACCCACGAUCUCGCGUUGUAUUGUUCUUGAGCACAUCACACCGAUUUCAUGGAUGAGUGAGCGUAUGUUAAUACAAACAUUUGAUCACUAUAAAUAAAUCAUCUGUAUCCUUGUUCGGCAAGAAAUUGUAGAAGUUUCAUACGUGAUCCAUAAUAUAUGUGUAUAUGUGUGCGUGUGUAUGUAUGUAUAUAUGUGUAUAUAUAUAUAUAUUUAUAUAUGCGUAUAUAUAUAUAUGUAUAUCUAUAUGUUUAUAUCUAUAUGUAUGUAUAUAUAUGUAUAUAUAUAUGCAUAUAUAUAUACAUACAUAUAUAUAUGUGUGUGUGUGUGUGUAUAUAUAUAUGCAUAUAUAUGUUAUAAUUCUAUUUAUAUAUAUAACUAUACGAACGUAUAUUCCCAUAUCUAUAUAUACAUGUAUACCUAAAUCUAUACACACGUAUAUCAAUAUACUUAUAUCUAUAUACACUGAUUUAUAUAUAUAUACAUACAUAUAUAUGCAUAUAUAUGUGUGUAUGUAUAUAUAUUUAUGUAUAUAGUUAUAUAAAUAUGCGUAUAUAUAUUGAUGUUUAUACACGCACAGACAUACAUACAUAUAUAUAUAUAUAUAUAUAUAUAUAUAUAUAUAUAUUUGGGACUUAUGUACAUAUAUAAGUAUGAGACUAUAUGUGCGUGAGCAAGUGGGUAUAUUUACUCGUAAAUAUAUGUAUGUAAAUUAUAUAUAUAUAUAUAUAUAUAUAUAUAUAUAUUCCGGAUUCACUCUCACUACUUGGCGCACAUUGUGCAAGUGCCUUCUAAUAUAGCCUUUUGAGUGGAUUUGGUUGACGGAACCUGAAAGACUCCCGUCGUAUAUAUAUAUCUAUAUAUACAUGUAUGUGUGUGUGUAUGUGUGUGUAUGUUUCUGUUUUGUUUCUCGUUAUCCCUCUAUCAUUUGGUAACCGAUGUUGGUGUAUUUACUUCCCCUUAAACUAGCGGUUCGGCAAAAGAGAACGAUGGUAUAAGAGUAGGCUUACAAACUUUAAGUCUUGGGUUUGGUUUUUUCAACUAAAGGCAGAACUCCAGCAUGGCCAUAGUCAAAUGACUGAAAUAAAUAAACGCAUAAAAGAAUUAAAGACUAUAUACACACGCAUAUAUGUAUUUAUGUAAUUUAUAACAUAGUCGUUGCAUAAUUCUCUCACAAGUUACUGAUUAUUUACUGUAGUGCUUCUGAUAAAACGAUCUCUAAUUCUAGAAAUGCACAUACACACACACCCAUAUAUAUAUAGUCAUACAGACAGAGGUAUAGAUAGAUAGAUAGAUAGAUAGAUAGAGAGAGAGAGAGAGAGAGAGAGAGAGAGAGAGACAGAGAGAGAGAGACAGAGAGAGUGAGGGAGAGAGAGAGAGUUUCACAUAUCAUACAAUCACCUCUGAAAGAGAAAAAGGAAGUCAGAAAAUUCAGAAAUAAAUCUAUAAUAAGAAAAGAAAUCGACUUUUAUGAAUUUUUUCAUCAGAAAUAAUGCCAAUUUUAUACAUCAGCGUUAUUUACGUUUUCAUUUUUACAUGGAAAUUAUUGCUAAUUUUAUAGUAUUUUCCUUCUAAAAUAAAAAUUCUUUGCUGCAAUUCUUGCAUUAAACAUAAAUAAUUGUAUUUAAAUUUAAAUUUUCCUCGUACCAUACAGCUAUAUUCACAGUAUAUUUAUUAUGUCUAAAUGAAAAAAUAAGAUGGUAUUUGUUUAUAUUUUGGAAUACAUGACAAACAAAAGAACCAAUUGCUUAACGAUUCUUUACUAUCAUAAUUUCAUUGUUGGUAUCAUGGAACAAUGAUGGAGUAAUUUGUAAUAAAUGUAUUCUCGUAUAAUUCUUGAAAUGUACCUUGUUCGAAUAAAACCUACGGUCAAGGACGUCCUGCCCAUGGCCGAAGCAUUCUUUUCCUGUUUUAGGAAUAAAUAAUUCCAAUUUUUUAAAGUGUUAUGUGAUGUUUACUUAGCAGUUAUUUCUAGCAUGUCGAAACGAUUCACUCAUAAGUGAUGAGGUAUAUCUCUCUCUGCAGAAUCACAGAAUAUGGGAUAUAUUUUCCACUCUCUGCUCCUUCUUUCAAGAAACUCGUACAUUUGUUUUAUUGCAAAAUAGCUAUGAACAUCACAAGUUGCUAUAAAAUGUACUUCUUUGUUCUGUGCACCAGCAAAAGCUAAGAAAAACUUUUUCCUUAUUAAUAUUUUACCCUUUUCUCGAUCUUUUAAAGCUCUGACAUUAAACACUUUGCAAUUUAUACGCUGACAGCAAGCUAGAUAUAGCAGCCCUUAGAUACUCCCCUUAGAAAGCAUGGUGCAGUGUAUCCACUUUUGUAGUCUACUGUUUUACACGGGCAAACGUUGAGAUUGAACUAAAAAUGGGUUGGUCACACCAAAAACGCCUUUGAUCAUAGCUCUACACAAUGUUACCCUCAUAGUACAAGAAGUACUAUAAGAAUUGUAUAUAUUAGAAAACGAGGGAGAGCCUGCAUAGCUACUUAAUAUGCAAAAAAUAACAACCAGUUCUCACACAAGUAUGAAUCUUAAAGAGGAAUGGACAUACUGGAUGCUUAAUGCAGUGCUACAUAAGAUAUUACUGUGGAAAAUGAGACAAAAAGAGUCAUAGCUGGAAUGCUUUUAACCAUAGGUCAUUUCAGACAGGGCGCGCCAGGCGACUAAGCAGAAAGAAAAAAAUUAUAUACAUUAUUAUAUGAUGGACUAAGAUACAUUAUUUUUUAAACACAGGAAGGUGUAAUGGUCACGGUAUGGACUCAUAUUGAUCAUAGAUGGAAUUAAAGAGAAUUGACAUGUACUAAACAACAGCAAGAACAAUAUAAUCAACAUCAUCUUCACUAUCCCCACCGAUGUCGUCAUCAUCAUCAUCAUCAUCAUCAUCAUCAUUAGCAACCUCAUCAUCAACAUCAUCUUCUGUAGCAUAAUUACCGUGAAUCAAAGAAAUAAUAGGAAGUAAGAAUCUGACAAUACCAAAAUUGUAGAUUUGGAUAUAUUUCCGUUUUUGAAAAUAUUUCUCUAUAUUUCCUACAGAUCUUCUUCACUAUUCCAUAAGCUAAUAUUUCAAAGUAUAAUUGCCACAAAAGAAAUUGUGUAUUUUAUAUAUAAUUAUACAUAAUUACAUGAAACAAAUAAUAGAAAUUAAUAUGCCAUUAUUUGCUUCAUUUAAAUAUUUCUAUGGAAAACUAAGUUUAUAUUGUAAGCAUUUAUUUAUUUUCUAAGGAAAAUAAAUUAAUAAAAAUGCUAUUAGAGAUUCGGAGAUUUACAGUUACAUGCACACAUGCAUGCGUGCGUAAAUGUAUGCACACACACUUACUUAGACAGGCAUAAUAUGCAUAUUUCCAUACACACACGCAUAUCUAUAUAUACACGAAUUAAUGAUAUACAAUUAUGUAUGUAUAAUUUUACAUGUAUAGACAUAUGUAUUUUGUAUAUGUAUACAUACAUAUACACAAACAUAUAGUAGUUGGUUUAAUUAUCAUAUAUAUGUAUAUAUAUAUAUAUAUAUAUAUAUGUAUAUAUGAGGAGAGAGAGAGAGAGAGAGGGAGAUAUAUAUAUAUAGAGAGAGAGAUAGGUAUUCGUGCAUCAACAGAAGCGUACAUGCAUAAAAAUACACAUCUGUCUGUCUCUCUCUCUAUAUAUAUAUUACAUAUACAUAUAUAUUAUGUACAUAUAUAGUACAGAUAUAUUUAUAUAUAUAUAUAUAUACAUAUAUAUAUAUAUAAAUAUAUACAUAUAUGCAUAAUACAUGUGUGUGUGUGCGUGUGUGUGUGUCUGUGUGUGUGUGUGUGUGUAUUUAUACAUGCAUGCAUGUAAAAACCAUGUAGAGAAAUAGACAGACAGAGAGACAGAUAUCAUAUCUGAUAUCCGUGUCGACAACGUUGGUGAAUGAUUGUUCCUUUGUGAAGGUAUUAGAAAAGUAAAAUAUCUUCUAUUGUAAUCGAUUAGGAUUUAUGUAACAACAUGCUGCGACACAGCAUUCAUUGUAAUAGAAGUUUUCAAUAGAUAAAUCUGCUUAUUGAACACAAUACUCCACAUAUUUUACUUAGCGUGUUCCUUUAGUUAUAUAAGUGUGCCUGUAUAGAUGAAUGUGUAUAUACGAAUACAGGUCUAUCUACAUUAACAUGCGUAUAUAUAUAUAUAUAUAUAUAUAAACACUUACACAUUUACAUGCACACACUCACAAACACAGACACACAUAUGUAUAUAUAUAUAUAUAUAUAUAUAUAUAUAUAUAUAUAUAUAUAUAUAUUCAUACAUAAAUAUCUAAAUGUAUAUAUGCGUAUAUCUGCUAAUAGAAUACGUAUUUACAUAAGUAUAUGUAUAUAAAUAUAUAUAUAUAUAUAUAUAUAUAUAUAUAUAUAUAUAUAUAUACGUAUCUAUGUAUGUGUGCAUAUAUAUACAUACAUACAUACAUACAUAUAUACAUAUAUAUAUAUAUAUAUGCACGUAUGUAUAUACACAUACACAUAUGCAUUCACUCACCCUCUCACAAAACCUGCUCCACACUUCUACAUAGACACACACACUUGCACAAUGCGAUCCAUGUCUUGCAUAGUUCUUCAUCCAUGCCGGAAUGAUAACCCGGUAUGUCGCUGUCUUAGUAGCAUUAUGUUGAAGCAUCAAUUGCGAAUAAGAAUUUUUCUUUUCUUCGGGAAUAGCAUGUGAAACGUUUCUUUUGAUUUCGCUGCUAAUUUUUCCCAUUUAAAAAAAUAAUCGCUCGCAUUAUUGUUGGAACACAUAGAAAAAUGUGAGUCUAGACGUAAAAUAACACCAUCGUUAUUUCUCCCAAUAUCUUCUGGACUUGAUUGACCAGGGGUCAAUCGACAACAAGUUUCAGCAACAAUAAUUGCUGUAGUAAUGACAAUGGAAAUUAUGAAACAAAAUAAUGGUAAUAAUAAUAAAGAUUUCUAUCUCCAUACUUUUCAUUGGGAAGCUGAGUCGAUUAUGUCGAACCAUAUACGUCACUGAUGUACAUUGUACGAUGCAUAAAAUUCAAUAUUUGACUUCGACGAAAUUUGAACUGAGAACUAAAUAAAGCAUUGUAUUUUGUCUGCGAUUGUACCAAUUUUGCCAAUCCCUUACCAUUUUAUGAUUUCUUAUUGUGCCUGCUGAGUGAGGACCAAGAUAAUUAACCACUAGACUAUAUGAGAAAAGUGAUAUUUUUUGACGUGCAAAUAAGGCUUCCCAUUUGCGGCUGAGCCCACAAUCAGUUAUCUCAUUUGGUCUUAAUAUUACAAAUGCAUGAAAGGAUGAAAAGCAAAGUCGAUCUUGCAUGCACUUGAACGUAGAAGAGAAAAAGUAGUUUAGGUGAAAAUUGAGAAGUGCUUUGUCUGCUAUCCCCACAAUUCGGCAAAAUCACAGCGCAUAUUUUCCAAUGCUAAAAUGAAACAAAACAUCCAAAAAUCUGUAGUCUGGCAACCAGCAUUCUUACUUUCUGUAAAUAUAUAAUUACUAAUGUGUCACAAAUGAUACGUAUAUAUAUAUAUAUAUAUAUAAUGAUCUACCUUAUUUAUAGAAGAGAUGCUAAAAGGCUCAUAUGGUUGUAAAGUGUCAUUACUGAUCUACAAUCCAUAACCAAAGACAGCAGAACGAGAAAAAGAAGGAAGAGUCUAAGUUCAGCAUAGAAUGACUUCCAGAAGGCUGUUAAUAAUGUUCUGAAAGUGUGAAUCCUAGAAGAAUUAGCCAUGAAUAAACGAAUGAAUAAGCAGAUAUAUUAAACACGGCAUGAGUAAAUGACAAACUAUUCUGCGGGGAAUAAGGAGCCCCCUAUCUUCAUUGAGGCAGAUUAUUCAAAGAAAACCUCCUCUCAUUACUCUUUUUCUGUCUGACGCUAAAAGCUUUAACUAACAUCUUAAAGUUGACUGGAUUCGAAUAAAAUUACUAUGUGAGGACAAUCGACCAGAUUUUGUAUAUCGUGGGCCUUGAGUUGUUCGCUGCAGAAGAUAACCAACUAGAAACACUGCUGCAGACAGUACACAGUUUCUUUAAAUUAAUUGAUUAGAAAAAUGUGCUACGACAACUUUGAAAAGGAAUAAAGAAAUAAUACUGAUACCAUACUAUAUAAAUUAGAAUUACUGUAAUCACAUUGUCAAAAUACUUAGGUAACAAUGAACAAGACAUGGCAUAGAAGCGAAAAAAUGUUUGAAUGAAAUAUUGUUGAAUUCUUUGAUUAAAACAAAGCUAAAUGCAAAAAUGGCAAUAUUCAUUAAUAAGCCGCAUGCUUUAGCAGUAAGUUAUAAUAUUUUGAACUGUCCAGUAACCUAGAAAGGUUAGACAGGAAAAUAAAAUUAUUACUAGAAUGCACUAUAGAAUAUUUGAAAUAGACUCUCUGCCUGUCUGUCUCUGUCUUUCUCUUUCUGCAUAUAUAUAUAUAUAUAUAUAUAUAUAUAUAUAUAUAUAUAUAUAUAUAAUUUAGAUAAAUAGAGAAUUUAUGAAACUAGAAAACUUUUGAAAUAUCAGCAAAAAAUAAAUAAAUAAAAUGAGAAAAACAAUUUUCUGUCACCAAGAACGUGAAGAAAUAUAAAACAGAUGUUGAAGUAGCAUAGAGAAAAGAAGAAAGAAUAGUAUGAAUUGUAAAAAGAAAUUUAAAGCAAAAAAAAAAAAAAAAGAAAAGACAACGGCAGGAAAAGUGUUCACAUGAAUAAUACCUGAAAAAAAAACUGAUUUGGGUGGAGAUAAUCAACGAGAACCACAUUGGCUGAGAAGCGCAGAACCCAAACCUAAUAAUGAAUAUUUCAAGACCUUCCCACCAGAUACCACCUGAAACAUGUAAUAUGUCGAAUACAUUGACGGUAGAAUAUAAGGUGGCCUGGAAUAAAUAAGUAACCAGAUUGUAUGUAUCUCAUUUUAGCCAAGAGUAAGUCCAUUAACAUGCACGACAGAGUGGUUCUGUCAUAUGCACGAAGUUAUUUCAGUAUUAUGAAAAGAAAUUUUGAAAGAAAGGGGCUACUUGAAUACAUCGACUCCAGUAUCUGAGCCCUAAAUGUGACUCAGCGGGUUUUGAACUGAAAAAGUAAAGGGACAGAACAACUACAGGAAGGCAUUUUCUUCUCCUUGAUAAUUGUUUCUAGUUUAGGAACAAGCGAAUCAAAUUCAUGGGGAGGGAUUAAUGGAUUACAUCAACCCCUGUUCUUGGCACGUACUUUGUUUUAUCGAUCGCGAAAGAAUCUAAGGCCAAGUUGACCUCGGCCUAACUUAGGCAAAAGGUCACAAAUUUAGCGUGUGGGGUUAGUCAAUUAAAUUGACCCUAGUACUUGAUUAGUAUUUUAUUUUGUCAACCCCGCAAGAAUAACAGACGAAAUCAACUUAGGCGGUAUUUGAACUAAGAACGGAAAGGGCCGUAACUAAAUACCGCAAGGCAUUUUGUCCGACGCGCUAACACUUCUGCCAACCUACCGUUCGCAACAACAAUUUCUCGUUAGAAUUUCAUUUUCUUUUGUCAUAUAUUCUCAUUAUUAUUCGAGACAUUUUUUUCUACUCUGCUUCGUAGAAUUUCUUUGUUUUUUUGUUGUUUUUUUUGUUCACUUUAUCUAUUUGUUUUUGUCUCUUCACACAUAAAUGUCUUUGACAACGUUGCUGUUGUCACCACACUCAUCGCUCUUACCGAAUUUCUUGGCACUAUCGUUGAUGACAUCAUCACCAUGAUUCCCACCGCCACUUCCACAGCCAUCGGCCCCACCACCCACGGCCAAUAACACCGCAAUCAAAACCACUAGCUCCACCACCACUUCUUAAAAGGAGAGAUGGUCAUAUCUGGAACGUCUUUGAUCGUAAGAUCUGCUCGAGCAUUGCAAUCCCGCGGGCUAAAUAGCAAUAACAAGAUUAAGAAAAACGUAGAGAAAGAAGAAAAGGCUGAAGGAAGUGAAGACGCAGUACAACAACAAGAACAACAGCUACAACAACAACGUUACCGCACCACGGACCACUGUCAUCAAUCAUUGUUGCCAAUAGUAUUCCUACCCACCACCACCACCACUAUUACCACCGUCACCAUCAUUCCCACAACCACAGCAACCUCCACUACUAUUGCUACUACCAUUACCGCAACCACCAACGCCACCACUGGUAACUACCAUCUCUAGCUGUAUAUUACCUCCACCACAACAAUCACAACUACCACUAUGAUUACCAUCACCAACACCACCAUCAAUGCUGACGCCAUUACUGUCCUGACCACCAGUAAUAAUACAGCACCACCACUACCACCACCAUUUCCAUCACUGCUUCCACCACCACCAUCACCACCACCACCACUACCACAAUUACAAUAGUCAUAAAUACAACCAACACCAGUGCAGUUAUUAUUACAAUAUACGUAAACACCAUAAAAAACCCACCACCACUACCACUACCAUCACCACAAUCACCACCAAGAACAACUCUACCACCAUCGCUCUGUAUUAUCUUGAAUAUCGUUACAAUCCCUCACACCACUGCCACCGCCACCACUAAUAAUGUUACUACUUUAGCCAACACUACAACCGCAGCUAGUUUUGCCACCGCCAUCAUCAGCACUACCAUCACAACACACAUCACCAAAGUUAAGCCGCCAUCAUCAUUAACAUCACCAAGAUCAGCAUCGCUGCCACUAUCACUACUACUACUACAAUCACGACUACAACCUGCACCACAAUUAAUAUCGCCACAAACCACCACUACCACCACCACCACAACCACCACCACCACCACCACUAUGGUCACCGCCACAGUUGUAUCAACAAUGAGCAAAGUCAACGAAACGCCUACACUCUCAAUCACCCUCGCCACCAUCACCAACGCCAACAUUGCCGUGCUACCGCCUCAACCACUACCAAGGCCAUAACUAAAACAACUCCAAUACCAGCAUCAUCUCCAUUGUCGCCAUCGCCAUCGCUACCGCUGCCACCUCCUACAUCAGUUCCACUGUUACAUCAAAAAUGACGAAAGUCAACACAAUACCACCAUCAUUACAAUAACCUACUACUACCGCAACCACCAUGACAAUAACCACCACAACACCGCUUCUAGCACCAACAACACAACCACUAUCACCACCAUAACCACCACCACCACCACCACCACCACCACCACUAUUACAUGAAAAUGACCAAAGUCAACGCACCACCACCAAUAACGUUACAUCCUCUAUCAUCAGCAUGGCUUUAGCUGCUACUGCUCCACAGCUUUAACCACCACCACCACCACCAUCAUCGUCAUCAUCAUCAUCAACAUCAGCAUCACUAUUACCACCAUCAUGAACAUCACCACCACCGUCUUCAUCACACCGCCUCCAUCAUCGUCACAACCGCCACCACAUCAAACAUCACCAAAGUCAACAGAAGCGCCACCAUCAUCGACGGUCCUCCACCCAUUAUUACCAGCACAUCACGUCCACCAUUCCCACCACUGUAAACCACUACCACCACCAUCACCACCAUCACUGCCGCACCCACCAACAUUACCACCACCACCACCACCACCACCACAACCACCAUCGCCACAUCAACAGCAUAUAAGUCAACACAUCACUUCUACUCACACUAUCACCUCCAGCGUCAACGCUUCAUUUUUCCAAUCAUAAUCAUCACCUUCACCAAAUAAAACAGUAGCGGCAGUGACAGCAGCAGCAGCAGCAGCAGCAGCAGCAGUAGCUGUAGCAACCGUACUACCACCAUUCCCACCUCCACCAUCACCAGCUUUACCACCACCACCAUCACCAUCGCCACCAUAACCAGCGUCGCCAACGCCUUCGCCACCUCCACCGUCAUUAUCACUAUCGUCGCCAUCACCACCAUCAUCUCAAUAACCUCCAACACCUGCACUGCUACCUCCACCGUCUUCGCCGUCACCACUCGCAACCAUAUCUUCCGGCAUUAACACCAUUACUAUCAUCUCCACCUCGCCCAACAUUAUGUCACAAAUACGAGAACCACCACCGUCAACACCAACAUCACCUACAGCAACUACAACAACAACAACAACUACUACAGCAUUUACCGCUGCCAUCUUUAUCAUCAUAAUUAACUUUACCUACCAGCGCUUCCACAACAUCCACAACCACCACCACCACCACCAUUAUGACUGUCUCCACUCUCACCUCCCUUACUCUAACGACGCCCUCUCAGGCUUUAACUUCUGUUUCUUUUCUUUCCACCACCACUGCUCUUACCACCAUCACUGAUGCUGCUGUUACCACCACCACCACCACCACUGUUUCUUAUUAUUAUGACCACUCUCACAUCCGCAGCAACCACCGCCACCACCACUAUUAACGAACACUACUGUCACCAUCACCACCACCGUCAUUGACCCCGCCACACUUUCAUCAUCAUUAUCGACCAUCUUAGUCACCAUUACGAAUAUAUACUACCGCUAUCAUCAACACCAUCAGUAUUAUAGCGCCAUCGCUGUCACCACCAGCCUUCACCAUUACUGCCACCACCACCACCAUCACUAGUACCGCUGCUACCACUGUCACCGCCGCGAUACCACCAGCAAGAAUAAACCUCUCAACGCCCUCGUUAUCGUAGCAUCGUCAUUGUUAUUAUCGAAACCGCCACCAUCACUACCGCGAUCAGCACCUCCAUUAGCAUCACCACCAUUAUCGUAGUGGCACCACUCUACCUCUAGCAUCACCACUAUUAGUACUAUUGCCACUACCAACGCCACCGCCACAACCACCACCAACCACCACCCUUUGAAACAACAACAAUCAACACGGCCAUUAGCAACAUCAUCAUUAGCAUCGUCGUUAUUAUUACCACCACCACAACCACUAUCACCAAUACUAUCACUUCUUCCACCACCACUGCCGCCGCUGCCACUACAACCACUAUAUUCACCAAUGCCACCGCCAGCUAUCGCAACCGACGUUGCCAUAACUCUCAUCAACUCCCUCCCUCCGCUCUGAAAAAUCACCAUCAUCUCCAUCAUUAUCAUUAUCACUUUCAUCACCCCCACUUCAAUGCAACCACAACUAGGACUAUCACCACCACUAUUGCUACCCCACAAAAUGAGCCAGGGAAGCCUCUACGUGCUCGCUCAAUCUGCCAGAACUACCAGCCAAAGCGCCCUCAAACUAAACAUCAAGACUGUUUUAGGAGUAGAAAAUGCGGAUUAUACUUAACCGUAUGUGGCGGGAAUAGUGUCGGUUAGGUUGUAUUUGAUUAUAAAUCAUCUAGAUUAGGGACAACAAUAGGAUUAAAGAAUAUCUAGGACAGAGCUGGCCAACCUGAGGCCCGCGGGCCGCGUGCCGCCCGCAUACUUUUAUCUUGCGGCCCGCUUGAUACUUUCUUGAAAUGGGUUCAUUUAAACAAGCAUUUUAAAAAUGUCAUCAACGUUUAAAAAUUCUAAUGAAAAGUAAAAAGAAAGAUACUGCUGUUUUUGAAACGAUAAUAUUUUAUGUUGAAUCAACGAUCAUUCGUUCAUUAUUGUAAUUAUAGCAUGAGAAAGCAAAAUGCUUUCAAUUGUGUCAGUAUACAAGUGGCUCUCAAAAAGCUUUAUGUGAUAGUUGCUCGCAAUGUAAUUCGACCUGAUGUAGGACAUGUUCCGAACUUUGGACUUGAAGCAUAGUAGUGUGUUAAGAAGUAACUUCAUGACGAAUUGGCUUCAACUUCAGUCCCGAACAAAUAUCAGGCUUAUAAAUACCAGAGGGGUGGUGCUCCAGUAUGGCCACAAUCCAGUGACUGAAACAAAGAGUAAAAGAGAUAUCGACUUGCACCUUCGUUUCGAAAUUGCUAGCCUUGUACAUACAAAAAGUAUUGCAUCUGAAUUCUAUCAGAACAAGUAUAUGAUCCACUGUUUUUUUGCCCAGAAUAAAUAAUCUGUAUCACUGAAAUGUGCGUAUGUGCUCAACAAAGAAUUAAGAGAAAUGAAGGGAAAACAACAUUGAGAUAAAAGUAACGUUUAAUAAAGGCGUAGGAGUGGCUGUGUGGUAAGUAGCUUGCUUAACAACCACAUGGUUCCGGGUUCAGUCCCGCUGCGUGGCACCUUGGGCAAAUGUCUUCUACUAUAGCCUCGGGCCGACCAAAGCCUUGUGAGUGGAUUCGGUAGACGGAAACUUCAAGAAGCCCGUGAUAUAUAUGUAUGUAUAUGUAUGUGUGUGUAUACGUUUGUGUGUUUGUGUUUGUCCCCACCUCCCUUUAAAGUAGAAGGAAUAGCUAAGACUUUUUGACUGCUAUUCCUAAAUUCGGCGUGUGGUGAGGCAAAUCGUUGCUGAACCCUAAUUAUUUAGUAUUACAUAUAUAUAUAUAUAUAUAUAUAUAUAUAUAUAUAUAUAUAUAUAUAUAUAUAUAUAUGUAUGUAUAUGCACAAGGACUUAAGAAUUUCUGGUUUGGUGCUAAUUUAUCAUACGAGGGUGGGUUUGACUUCCGGUAGCGAUGGCAACGAACCCAGGUGAUAGAGAACUCUAACAGGAAACCUGGCACCGACUUUCUGCUACCAGCAUUUCCUAAAAGUCUGACUGGUCCUACUCGAGUCUUUGCCACUUAAAAUAAAAUAAUCUUUGUGGGUUUUUCAACAGCUAUGUACGGUUAUUUGACUCUAUACAUCGAAAUCAGUAGGAGAAUCUAUUAGAUAUGUUUGUCUGCACAAGUGUGUGUGUGUGUGCAUGUGAGAGAGAGAGAGAGAGAGAGAGAGUAUGUGUGUGUGUGUGUGUGUGUGUGUGUGUGUGUGUGUGUGUGUGUGUGCGUGCGUAUGUGUAAAGCUUACACACACUUUCUGUCUACAAGAUCCAGUCGCAAGGCAGGGGUCGGUCCGAGUCUCUGAAGUAAGACUCUUGCACCAAGCGCAUCCCGGUAAAUAUUUAGACCGGCGCUGUUAUGACUCGGUCAGGUCGCCGCUUUGACACUAGGCGUUGGUUUGUUUCCGUUCCCGUCAUCUAGCAGUUCAGCGAAAGGUACUGAACGAACAAAUAUCAGGCUUAUAAAUACCAGAGGGGUGGUGCUCCAGUAUGGCCACAAUCCAGUGACUGAAACAAAGAGUAAAAGAGAUAUCGACUUGCACCUUCGUUUCGAAAUUGCUAGCCUUGUACAUACAAAAAGUAUUGCAUCUGAAUUCUAUCAGAACAAGUAUAUGAUCCACUGUUUUUUUGCCCAGAAUAAAUAAUCUGUAUCACUGAACUGUGCGUAUGUGCUCAACAAAGAAUUAAGAGAAACGAAGGGAAAACAACGUUGAGAUAAAAGUAACAUUUAAUAAAGGCGUAGGAGUGGCUGUGUGGUAAGUAGCUUGCUUAACAACCACAUGGUUCCGGGUUCAGUCCCGCUGCGUGGCGUCUUGGGCAAAUGUCUUCUACUAUAGCCUCGGGCCGACCAAGUCCUUGUGAAUGGAUUCGGUAGACGGAAACUUCAAGAAGCCCGUGAUAUAUAUGUAUGUAUAUGUAUGUGUGUGUAUACGUUUGUGUGUCUGUGUUUGUCCCCACCCCCGCCAACAUCGCUUGACAACCGAUGCUGGUGUGUUUACGUCAAAAGAGACCGAUAGAAUAAGUACUAGGCUUACAAAGAGUUGCUCGACUAAAUGCGGUGCUCCAGCAAGGCCACAGUCAAAUGUCUGAAACAAAUAAAAGAGUAAAAGAGAUCAACCUACAUAUUUUUAUCCAUUUAUAUUUCUAUACACAACGAAUAAGGACAAAUAACAGGCAGAAAAUUUUGACAACUAAGGUCAGUGUAAGCUAUAUCUUUAGUUAAUUUCAGAUUUCCAUAAUUGGAAUGACUGUGUGAUCCUCUUGGUAUAUUAAACUGACUUUGACUAGUAAAAAUCUUUAUGACUGAUGGAUCUUCAACUCUGCAGACAGCGACGAACGAGUAAUCCUGAAUAAACAGGUUAGUAUUACUGUAAAAUUCAACAGAGAAGAACGAAUAAUUAUUCUAAGUUUUCGAGGAAAGUGGAGACUCAUUUUUUUCUUUCAUACAUGCAUACGUGUCCUUGUACAUACACAUAUAUAUAUACACACACACACAUAAGCACAUAUAGAAAAGACUGAGAGAUAAGGGGAAGUUGCGAAUGAAACCGGAAAUUAUGUUACUGACUGAUUUGGCAAAAAAAAUUAUUGCGUCGUUUUUUCGUAUUUCUGUUUUUAUUCUCCUACUAGCAGUAUAGUCCAGCGUUGCUCGGGUUUGUUUUUUAGUUGCGCUUAAAACGGCAGACUUUGAUGUCGCGUUAACAAAGUUUUGACAUAGUUUCAAUCUAUGAAUGGAUGGAAGCACUCCGUCGGUUACGACGACGAGGGUUCCGGUUGAUCCGUAUCAACGGAACAGCCUGCUCGUGAAAUUAACGUGUAAGUGGCUGAGCACUCCACAGACACGUGUACCCUUAACUUAGUUCUCGGGGAUAUUCAGCGUGACACAGAGAGUGACAAGGCCGGCCCCUUGAAAUACAGGUACAACAGAAACAGAAAGAAAGAGUGAGAGAAAGUUGUGGUGAAAGAGUACAGCAGGGAUCACCACCACCCCCUGCCGGAGCCUCGUGGAGCUAUAGGUGUUUUCUCUCAAUAAACACUCACAACGCCCGGUCUGGGAAUCGAAACCGCGAUCCUAUGACCACGAGUCCGCUGCCCUAACCACUGGGCCAUUGUGCCUCCACGAAUCUAUGAAUAAAAGUAUAGUGAGGCGAUGCUCGAGUUUGCUGUGAAUGUGCUGCAAAUGUGUAAUGCCGACUUCAAUUGUUGAUAUUGUUGGUUAAUAUUCUUUCUAUUAACAUUAUGAGAAAAAAAAUUACCCGUAGAUUUAAAGCAAAAUGAAGCUCAAGUUUCGAACUGCACUGAAAAUCUAUUACGAAGUUAACACUGCAACAGUAUUCAUUAAGAAAAAGUACAGGAAAAUCCAAAACGUUAGUAUGAAGUUUGUGGUUACAAAAAUAAAAAUGUAGCUGGGCUGCAUAGACUUGCUUCCCCAGGUGUCGAACUGCAGACCGAGUAUACUUGGUGAACAUUUUUCUCCUGUCGCUGCCUCCUUUUUCUCUAUCACUUUUAUGUGCCCCUUCUAUCAACUAGCUCCCAACAAUCCAAAUGUGCAUCGCAAUGGCGUUUCAGUCACCAAUUACACUAAAACAUCAGAAGUUACAAGGGGCGAAAGGGAAAGAAAAUUCACAGUGAUAAUGCUCUUCUCAAUACGUGUGACGUACUAGUUAAAACAAUCUUUUGUACUUACUGCAUGGAUGGCAAGCCAGGGAUCAUUCUUAAAUAAUCUUCAGUUCCCUUUUUGACCAUUCCAAGAGCUCCUACAAUCACUGGUAUUGUAACCGUCUUGAGAUGACAUAUCUUUUCGAUUUCGAUUAGCAAAUCUUUUAAUUUUCUGAGUUUAUCAAAAUAUUUUGCCGAGAUAUUAUGGUCACAGGGUAUGCUCAUGUCAAUCAAUAAACAUACUUUAUUGUCACAACAAUAUCUGGUUUAUUUGCUUUGAUGGUCCGUUCUGUACAUAAUGGAAAGCCCCAAAGAAUAGUUACGUUUUCUCCCUCAGUUACAGCUUCAGAGUGGUACUUGUAACAUUUGUCAGCAGUUUUGACUUUAUAAUUCCGACACAUUGGCCAACUCUGUCAUGUCUUCAUUUGUACUCUAUAGUUACUAAAACCUUACAUCCAGAUAUAAGGUGGUCUACUGUUUCUAUCCCAUUGUUGCAGUAUAGGCACAUUGGGUUUACACCAUUUUUCAUCACAUUGGCUCGAUAGUUCUGGGUCAAUAAGCACUGAUCUUGGGCAGCCUAGAUAAAGCCUCCCUCUCUGCUUUCAGCCCAGAGCUCUGUAUCCACUGAUGGGUGUUUUUCUGGUCUAUAUCAGCUUGCUUGCUACGAGCCGUAUAUUUGCCAUGCAGAGGUUUUUGUUCCCAUCUAUCAGUCAAAUUUUCAAACGCAUUUUGCUUUGCUAUUGAUUUCACCUUCUUUGCAACUACAGUUGCUGCACUUUCAUCAUGCUGUUCAACCUGGGUAUUAUGCAUAAACUCACUUGAAAAUUCUUUGCUCUCUUUCAUAAGAGAGUGAAGCUUCUUACGUCUUUCAUGGUUUUCGACGAGCUUUACCAUCCGGUGGUUAUAUGUUUCAAGAUAUUUGGCCAGUCCAGCUGUAGUGGUUUUGUAAGAGAUUUCAAAUUGGAUCAAGCCUCAACCUUCUUGAGCUCUCGGUAGGUAAAGACGAUAUGCCUCUGCCUUUGGGUGGUGCAUCUUAUUGUAAGUCAACAGCUUACGGAUUUUCCUGUCAAUCUUUUUUCUUUUUUGCGCAUAUUCCAGUUCAACAGAUUGAAACUGUAAAUAACAGCCGAAACUGCUAAGGAAUUUAAAGCUAACACCUUGUUACGUGCAUUUAACUCGGAUUUCAGGACUGCUCAAACUCUCCUAAACACUCCUUCCUGAUCUUCUCUUUCAUACUUGCAAGUUGAAUGCCAGAGUCCUAAUUUAUUCUUAGGUAUUUGUAAGCUUGUUCUUGAUCAAGUUAUUUUAUGACUGUGUCAACAUCCAACUCAACUGAAUGUGAGAUCUUCAAUUUUCUUUUCUGGAAAGUGGCCUUGGUACAUUUAUCGAGACCAAAUUCAAUCGGGAUGUCAUCACUGAAUGCUUUCACAGUAUAUAGCAGUCCUUCAAGUAAAUUAUUAUCUUUGCCAUAGAGUUUUAAGUCAUCCAUACAAAAUAGAUGACUUAUUUUCUUGUAGUCAAAAUAUAUAUAUAUCCUGUUCUGUUAAGCGCCCUUGUAAGGGGUAUUAGGGCUAUGUAGAAAAUUAAAGGAGAAAGUGAGUCACCUUGGAAAAUAUGGCAGACUAGCAGUAUCGCCCGGCGUUGCUCAGGUUUGUAAGGGAAAUAACUAUAAAGCAUUUUUAGAGAGUUAUAGCCAAAAAAUAGCAAAAAAAUGGAAAAAAAUGAUGGUAAUUUUUUUUGAGAUUUAAAAAAGGUGGAGUUGCGUCCCCUAGACAGUUUGUGGUUCGUGUUUCUGAUUCUCGACCCCAUGUCGAAUUUAUCGAUUUUUUCAGAACUGGGGGAACUUUUCAAAAUUUUCACUGCGUUAGUUUUGAAUUAUGACAUUGGGCUAUGUGUGUGUCAAGUUUCAUCAGAAUCGGUUGAAAGCCGUGGUCAGGGUGAGGGUACAAGCAAACAGACACACAGAAACACGCACAGACAAACUGCCGUUUAUAUAGAGAGAGAUGAUAUUAAUAUUUUUUGUGGUUAGUACUUCGUUAGAGUGGUAUAAUUGGAGAUUUGUAUUCCAUAUUGACAUGUGCUUCAGGAAGUUGUAUCGUUGUGGGUAACCUGUGUAGCCAUGGCGACAGUAUAACAGUUAUCUAUUUAAAUCUGCCGUCUUUGCUACUAUUACUGUGUGGUAUUAUUAAAUGUUGAUUAGUUUCGACUUACGUAUUGUACUUGAGAUAAUCAUAAAUAUGUGAGGAUUGAAGGGAAUAAUAGGAGGAAGGGAAGCAGCUCGGUGAUAUAUUAUUAUUAUUAUUAUUAUUAUUAUUAUUAUUAUUAUUAUUAUUAUUAUUACUACUACUAUUAUUAUUAAGGUGGUUAGCUGGCAGAAUCGUUAGUACGCUGGGCGAAAUGCUUAGCGGUAUUUCGCCUGUCGCUACAUUCUGAGUUCAAAUUCCACCGAGGUUGACUUUGCCUUUCAUCCUUUCGAGGUCGAUAAAUCAAGUACCAGUGAAACAGUGGUGUUGAUUCAAUCGAAUAGUUCCCUGCCACCAAAUUUCAGGUCUUGUGCCUUUUGGUUAGAAAGAAUUAUUAUUAUUUUUAUCUGAACUUAGUAGUAGUAGUAGUAGUAGUAGUAGUAGUAGUAGUAGUAGUAGUAGUAGUAGUUGUUGUUGUUGUUGUUAUUGUUGUUGUUGUUGUAGUAAUGCAUUGAAAUAUUAGCCGAAAGUGUAGCUUCGAAGUUCCAGGAUACUGGUAUGAACACGAAUCAGAUGCUGCGAUAAAGAAUAAGAAUGACAGGAUCUUAUAAGACUGAGUAUUGUACUUAAGAAAGAAGACCAGAUAUGAUUAUGGAGGAUAAAUUAAACUAUCAGUGUGAGAUCUUAGAUUUUGCAAUUUCCUAUGAUAACAGAAUUGAUACCAAAGAAAUUGAACAAAAUCGAUAAAUAUCAGGAUCUUCUCAGAGAGCUGAAGAAACAACAGAAGUCUUAAACAUUAAUUAUUUCUGUGGUAAUUGAUGCACUUGGCAUAACAACCAAAAUCGUUAACUAAGGGAGUGAAAGAUAUUGGAAUUGAGGUUCACAUUGUUGACCUACAAACAAGUAUCCCCCUGUAUUCUAAAAGAAUCAUUGCAAAGGUUCUUGAGGUUUGAGGACACUUGUCACCAAAUAUCAAGAUAGAAUCCCUGCUAAUGACAUAGCGUGUAAUAGCUUCGUUAUCCCGUCUGCUAUGACCUGGCAUUCUGGGUGAGUUGGGUAAAAUGAUAUCAUAAACCACAGUGCUUCACUAGUUCUUUAUUUACCGACCCCGAAAGGAUGAAAGGCAAAGUCGAAUUAGAAUUCAAACCUAAAGAGGGACAAAAUGUUUA